AGAAAAGUAGGUGCCCGCCCCGCACAGGGGCGACGCUAAUAGACCGAUAAGAAAACAAGGAAAGGCCAACGCCGCGGGCAUACCGACAAGCGCCCCGCAGGCAAAAAACCCAUUUUUUCACCUUUUUGGCACCCC
rnacentral:sRNA from 1 species